CGAGAUUUUGCCUUCGGGUACAAUUGAGACAGGUGGUGCAUGGUUGUCGUCAGCUCGUGUCGUGAGAUGUUGGGUUAAGUCCCGCAACGAGCGCAACCCUUGUGUUUUAGUUGCAAACAGGUCAAGCUGUGCACUCUAGACAGACUGCCGUGGACAACACGGAGGAAGGUGGGGAUGACGUCAAAUCAUCAUGCCCCUUAUGAUCUGGGCUACACACGUGCUACAAUGGCCGGUACAACGGGCAGCGAGGAGCGAUCCGGAGCGAAUCCUAAAAGCCGGUCCCAGUUCGGAUUGCAGGCUGAAACUCGCCUACAUGAAGUUGGAGUUGCUAGUAAUCGCGAAUCAGAAUGUCGCGGUGAAUGCGUUCCCGGGUCUU
rnacentral:rRNA from 1 species